AUAACGUGUGGUUUUUCGACUAGGUUUUUAGAGAGCGUUCCACGCCACGAUGAUAAAACCGUGCACAGAUUAGUUCCGAUUCUCUGGCAUCGCGCGGCUGCUAUUGGAUCUAAGAUCAAUUUUAACGCGGUUAUUAGCACGAUCGAUAAGUUUUUCUUGGAACACGAUCGUUCGCAAUAAUAUGAGCUUUAUAUUUCCUCCUCCUAUGGUAUUACGUUCGUAAUUGAUCGGACAAUGGCGAAUUGUAAUUUCGUCAGUCUUAUAUGUUUGCUCUUCGACUUAACAGCUUUAUCCUCGGAUGACGAAUGCGUCCAUUAGUACGGCUGCGUUUCUAAAAACGUAGAACGCCAGGAAAAAUUUAUUCACAGUUUAUUGAAGCCUCGUUAAUUAAAACACGUGUCCCCUUUUUUCGUUAGCGUGAAUUUCGGGACUCAGUUACCACCAUUUGUCUGCUCCAUGUUGUUCCAGCAGCUGUUUAUUUUUGCUACACUUGUGGAUAUCUUUAGGAAACAUAGGAUAUAAUGCUGAACUGUUUGAACGAAAAUAUCAAAUUCCUUAAGGCGUCCUCUUGAUACAUCCCAUGAAAAAAUCCUAUAUAAAAAAAACUCUUUCAUUCCAAAUUAUUUGUAAUACAAAAUUUGUUUAGUAAGUAAAAAUAUUUGUCUGUUGCGAAAUAG
rnacentral:misc_RNA from 1 species